rnacentral:rRNA from 1 species
AUUGAACGCUGGCGGCAUGCUUUACACAUGCAAGUCGAACGGUAACAGGGUGCUUGCACCGCUGACGAGUGGCGAACGGGUGAGUAAUGCGUCGGAACGUGCCGAGUAGUGGGGGAUGACGCAGCGAAAGUUGUGCUAAUACCGCAUACGUACUGAGGUAGAAAGUGGGGGACCUUCGGGCCUCACGCUAUUCGAGCGGCCGACGUCUGAUUAGCUAGUAGGUGAGGUAAAGGCUCACCUAGGCGACGAUCAGUAGCGGGUCUGAGAGGAUGAUCCGCCACACUGGGACUGAGACACGGCCCAGACUCCUACGGGAGGCAGCAGUGGGGAAUUUUGGACAAUGGGCGAAAGCCUGAUCCAGCCAUGCCGCGUGUCUGAAGAAGGCCUUCGGGUUGUAAAGGACUUUUGUCAGGGAGGAAAUCCCUAGUGCUAAUAACACUGGGGGAUGACAGUACCUGAAGAAUAAGCACCGGCUAACUACGUGCCAGCCGCCGCGGUAAAAC